GUGGGGAAUAUUGCACAAUGGGGGAAACCCUGAUGCAGCAACGCCGCGUGAAGGAAGAAGGUCUUCGGAUCGUAAACUUCUUUGAUUAGGGACGAAGAAAUGACGGUACCUAAGGAACAAGCCACGGCUAACUACGUGCCAGCAGCCGCGGUAAUACGUAGGUGGCGAGCGUUGUCCGGAAUUACUGGGUGUAAAGGGCGCGUAGGCGGGGAUGUAAGUCAGAUGUGAAAUUCCGGGGCUUAACUCUGGAGCUGCAUCUGAAACUAUGUCUCUUGAGUGCUGGAGAGGAAAGCGGAAUUCCUAGUGUAGCGGUGAAAUGCGUAGAUAUUAGGAGGAACACCAGUGGCGAAGGCGGCUUUCUGGACAGUAACUGACGCUGAGGCGCGAAAGCGUGGGGAGCAAACAGGAUUAGAAACCCUAGUAGUCC
rnacentral:rRNA from 1 species